AAUGGACGCAAGUCUGACCCAGCAACGCCGCGUGAAGGAAGAAGGCUUUCGGGUUGUAAACUUCUUUGACAGGGGAAGAGCAGAAGACGGUACCCUGAAAACAAGCCACGGCUAACUACGUGCCAGCAGCCGCGGUAAUACGUAGGUGGCAAGCGUUGUCCGGAUUUACUGGGUGUAAAGGGCGUGUAGCCGGGCUGACAAGUCAGAUGUGAAAUGCGGAGGCUUAACCUCCGGACUGCAUUUGAAACUGUUGGUCUUGAGUAUCGGAGAGGUAAUCGGAAUUCCUUGUGUAGCGGUGAAAUGCGUAGAUAUAAGGAAGAACACCAGUGGCGAAGGCGGAUUACUGGACGACAACUGACGGUGAGGCGCGAAAGCGUGGGGAGCGAA
rnacentral:rRNA from 1 species